AGGAAUAUUGGUCAAUGGAGGCAACUCUGAACCAGCCAUGCCGCGUGAAGGAUUAAGGCCCUCUGGGUUGUAAACUUCUUUUAUAUGGGAAGAAAUGUACUUUUUCUAAAGUGCUUGACGGUACCAUAGGAAUAAGCACCGGCUAACUCCGUGCCAGCAGCCGCGGUAAUACGGAGGGUGCAAGCGUUAUCCGGAUUUACUGGGUUUAAAGGGCGCGCAGGCGGGAUAAAAAGUCAGUGGUGAAAUCCUACAGCUUAACUGUAGAACUGCCUUUGAUACUUUUAUUCUUGAGUUCGGGAGAGAGAGACGGAAUUCCAGGUGUAGUGGUGGAAUACGUAGAUAUCUGGAAGAACACCAGUUGCGAAGGCGGUCUCUUGGUCCGACACUGACGCUGAGGCGCGAAAGCGUGGGGAGCAAACA
rnacentral:rRNA from 1 species